CCGGCGUCUCCCUUUAGAUGAACCCACCUGCGUCUCUCCCAUCAGCUUCACUCUUCAUCAUCAUCUUCAUCAUCACCAGAAUGGCUCAUCUGACCCCCGCUGGAGUAAUUCUCUGCGCGUUCUGCCUAAUCACUCAGGUUUUGUCUCAGAACACAGUCUCCCCGGUCAACUCCACCGCGCUGGCGGGCAACCAGACCGUUAACGCGAACGACACCACGGCGACGAACACGUACGGCGGCUCGGCGAACACGACCACCGCUCCGACCGGCGCCGGCGUCCAGUCGCGGGCCAGCGCGCUCUACGUGCUCGUCCCCGUCGCCAUGGCAAGCAGCCUCCUGCACCGCUGCUGUUGAGAGCAUCAUCAUCUCCGCACCUUCACACGUUCCUCGAGGCCAGUUCUGCCACCUCUCCUUCUGUAGCUUCACCUCCAACACACGGAUGUCCACAAGUUCUGUUCAUUUCCAGCAGGGCGGUUCCUCCAUUGCACUCCGGAGGAAGGUUGAGCCCUGAAGUAGAAGCACAGAUAGAUUGAGGACAUUCCAAACGGCACCUGGCUUCCUUUCCCACAAGAAAACACCCGGUUUUUGCAUUGCUGAGCCUGUAGAGUGAGAUGAAGGCAGAUGUUCCAGCUGGACGGGACAUUGUAUGAUCUUAGGUUGAUGGCCGGAUCGUGCAAGACGCAUUUUACACAUUCUGAUCCAAACUAAAGCGCACGGUUUUUAUUUUUUAAAUGGGGUCUUUUGGUUUCGUCACUUCGAGGUGCAGGUGGAUCUUCAUCUGUAUUUGCCCACUUUAGUUCUGAAUCAAACUGUUAGUCAUUCAUUGGCAUGAGAUGGACACUUUGUAAUAUUGUUUUUCUCUUGCAUAGUUUAUAUUUUGUACAAAAUCGAAAUGUUUAAAUGUUUGUAAAACACGAGUACAUGAGAAUAAACGAUGUACCAUUGAACUA